UACAGAGGGGGCAAGCGUUGUUCGGAAUUACUGGGCGUAAAGGGCGCGUAGGCGGCCUUCUAAGUCGAACGUGAAAUCCCCGGGCUCAACCCGGGAACUGCGUCCGAUACUGGAAGGCUUGAAUUCGGGAGAGGGAUGCGGAAUUCCAGGUGUAGCGGUGAAAUGCGCAGAUAUCAGGAGGAACACCGGUGGCGAAGGCGGGUCUCUGGGCCGUAACUGACGCUGAGGAGCGAAAGCGUGGGGAGCGAACAGG
rnacentral:rRNA from 1 species